rnacentral:rRNA from 1 species
UCAUUUGUUUUUUAAUUGAAGACUGGAAUGAAAGGUAUAACGUGAAAAUUGGUGUCUUGAUUAAAGAAUUUGAAAUUUAUUUUUUUGUUAAAAAGCAAAGAUAAGGUUAAUAGACGAGAAGACCCUAUUGAGCUUGAUUUGUUAGAUUUAUAUAUAGAUUAUUAUAAUAAGUUGAAGUAAAUUUUACUGGGGCGGUAGAAGGAAUUUAAGUAUCUCUUUUUUUAAAAAUUAUUGGUUAAUAUAUUUUUAUCCAAGGCGUUUGAGAAAUAAAAAGUUACCAUAGGGAUAACAGCGUAAUUUUUUUGUAGAGUUCUUAUCGAUAGAAAAGUUUGCGACCUCGAUGUUGGAUUAGGGAUCCUAAUUAGCGCAUAAGUUGAUUAAGGUAGUCUGUUCGACUAUUGAAUUCCUACAUGAUCUGAGUUCA